CCGUGCUAGGUGGGGAGGCGGUUCCCUGUACUGAAAUCCGCUUUACGCGAGACUGAAUUCCUUUGCUAAGGGUACGUUUUUGUGAAGUCUGCCCAAAGCAUCGUAGUGUUUGAAGAUUCGGUCCUAUGCAAUAUGAACCCACGAACCAUGUCAGGUCCCUGACGGAAGCAGCAUUAAGUGGAUCAUCGUAUGUGCCGUAGGGUUGCUGAGAUGUCGACUUUGGUUACGUUUAUGAUACGUACCAAAGCGAAGGUGCACGG
rnacentral:SRP_RNA from 1 species